rnacentral:rRNA from 1 species
UGAAUACGAGACGCUACGGCGUCGAAGCAGUGUAUGUCAGACUUCCAAGAAAAGCUCGCUAUGUCAUAAAUGAAAAAUGCCUGUACUAUAACCGACACAGGUGGGUAGGUAGAGUAUACUAAGGGGCGCGAGAUAACUCUCUCUAAGGAACUCGGCAAAAUAACUCCGUAACUUCGGGAGAAGGAGUGCCUUAUUUAUAAGGUUGCAAUAACAAGAUCCAAGCAACUGUUUAUCAAAAACACAGGUCUCCGCUAAGUCGUAAGACGAUGUAUGGGGGCUGACGCCUGCCCAGUGCCAGAAGGUUAAAGAAGUUGGUUAGUUUCGACGAAGCUGAUGACUGAAGCCCUGGUGAACGGCGGCCGUAACGAUAACGGUCCUAAGGUAGCGAAAUUCCUUGUCGGGUAAGUUCCGACCCGCACGAAAGGCGUAAUGAUUUGGAUACUGUCUCGGAGAGGGACUCGGUGAAAUAGACUUGUCUGUGAAGAUGCGGACUACCUGCACCAGGACAGAAAGACCCUAUGAAGCUUUACUGUAACUUGAAAUUGAAAUUGGACUUUGUUUGCGCAGUAUAGGUGGGAGGCGUUGAGAAUAUUCUUGCGGGAAUAUUGGAGCCAUCAGUGAGAUACCACUCCUAUAAUGUUAGAUUUCUAACUUUGUAUCAUAAUCUGGUCAAAGAACAGUUUCAGGCGGGCAGUUUGACUGUGGCGGUCGCCUCCCAAAUGGUAACGGAGGCGUACAAAGGUUUCCUCUGAACGGGUAGAAAUCGUAUCUAGAGUAUAAAGGCAUAAGGAAGCUUGACUGUGAGACCUACAAGUCGAGCAGGGACGAAAGUCGGUCUUAGUGAUCUGACGGUGCUGAGUGGAAAGGCCGUCACUCAACGGAUAAAAGUUACUCUAAGGAUAACAGGCUGAUCUCCCCCAAGAGUUCACAUCGACGGGGAGGUUUGGCACCUCGAUGUCGGCUCAUCGCAUCCUGGGGCGGUAGUACGUCCCAAGGGUUGGGCUGUUCGCCCAUGAAAGCGGUACGCGAGCUGGGUUCAGAACGUCGUGAGACAGUUCGGUCCAUAUCCGGUGUAGGCGUUAGAAUAUUGAGAGGAGCCUUCUUUAGUACGAGAGGACCGAGAAGGACAUACCUCUGGUGUACCAGUUAUCGUGCCAACGGUAAACGCUGGGUAGCUAUGUAUGGAGAGGAUAACCGCUGAAAGCAUCUAAGUGGGAAGCCCACCUCAAGAUGAGUAUUCUCAC